UACAGAGGUCUCAAGCGUUGUUCGGAUUCAUUGGGCGUAAAGGGUGCGUAGGCGGCGCGGUAAGUCGGGUGUGAAAUCUCGGAGCUUAACUCCGAAACUGCAUUCGAUACUGCCGUGCUUGAGGACUGGAGAGGAGACUGGAAUUUACGGUGUAGCGGUGAAAUGCGUAGAUAUCGUAAGGAAGACCAGUGGCGAAGGCGGGUCUCUGGGACAGUUACUGACACUGAGGCAC
rnacentral:rRNA from 1 species